GCAUCUUUAGCAAAUGCUGGUGAAGGAUACUUGAGAACUGAUCGAGUAGAAGAAUAGCCGUCUUAGAGAAAGGCCAUUCAUGAGUGUUUAAUAGAGAAGGGAAUAACAGAUAUAGGUCAGCAAUGAAAAUGCCAAACUCAUCAGGCAUAUAUAGAUCAUAAAUAAUGAUCUAAACCAAACAACCUUCAUUGUAUCCUAUGAAAAAUUUUCAUGGGG
rnacentral:misc_RNA from 1 species